GAGACAGCAUCACUAGACCUAACUACUCAGUAUGCAAGUAUGACGACACUGCCAAACAUUUCUAUACCAACGAGGUGCUUGUCUGUGUAACUAAAGUACAUGCAUGUCAGUACAGUCCCAAACAGGCCUUUCCCCAUCUCCAGAGGAGAGGAUGGGAUGGGAAAUUGCUUAUUUUCAUGAGAUUCAACAUCAAUGGGGAAUAGGUGUUUAGGAGGUUCUUCCACUAGUUCUGCAUAAGGUAUAGGUUUUAAGUUCCAGAAAGUCCUCUGUUUGGGCUUAAAACUGUGUAAAAAUAGACCAAGUCAGAAUCAAAGCCACCAAGCUACCCUGUGAUCUGUGAGUAACAACAAUCAUUUAAUCAUCAGAGACUCUCUCUUCCUUUCUAGAGAUAUCGCAGUAACACCCUAUAAAAAGCCUUUUAAUAAUACACACACGAUGCCUCUGAUAAAGAACUGUCUCGUUUGACUGAUGUGAUGACGGGAAACAGUCUAAAUCAAAUCUCUGCAUGUCUGUGGGCCGUGGUAGUGACUGGCAGCUGUCUGCACAAAAGCUGCCACACUGGGACGAGCUUAGACAUAUUCACUGGGGUCUCAGAUGCUUCCAAUAUACAUAAAUAAAGUACAAAUGCCAAGUAAUCAAUAGCCAGUAUAUUGGAAUGCCAUCAUUGUGAAUUUGAAUCAAUCUAAAUCAAAUUAAGAGUUGAAAAUAGACUACAGUCUAUUUCUGCUUUGUCAUUAUGAAGGUAGACUACAGUCCAGCUUUGCUUUGUCAUUAUAAAGGUAGACUACAGUCCAGCUUUGCUUUGUCAUUAUGAAGGUAGACUACAGUCCAGCAUCGCUUUGUCAUUAUGAAGGUAGACUACAGUCCAGCAUCGCUUUGUCAUUAUGAAGGUAGACUACAGUCCAGCAUCGCUUUGUCAUUAUGAAGGUAGACUACAGUCCAGCAUCGCUUUGUCAUUAUGAAGGUAGACUACAGUCCAGCAUCGCUUUGUCAUUAUGAAGGUAGACUACAGUCCAGCAUCGCUUUGUCAUUAUGAAGGUAGACUACAGUCCAGCAUCACUUUGUCAUUAUGAAGGUAGACUAAAGUCCAGCUUUGCUUUGUCAUUAUGAAGGUAGACUACAGUCCAGCUUUGCUUUGUCAUUAUGAAGGUAGACUACAGUCCAGCAUCGCUUUGUCAUUAUGAAGGUAGACUAAAGUCCAGCUUUGCUUUGUCAUUAUGAAGGUAGACUACAGUCAAGCAUCGCUAUGUCAUUAUAAAGGUAGAUUAUGAAGGUAGACUACAGUCCAGCUUUGCUUUGUCAUUAUGAAGGUAGACUACAGUCCAGCUUUGCUUUGUCAUUAUGAAGGUAGACUACAGUCCAGCAUCGCUUUGUCAUUAUGAAGGUAGACUACAGUCCAGCUUUGCUUUGUCAUUAUGAAGGUAGACUACAGUCCAGCAUCGCUUUGUCAUUAUGAAGGUAGACUACAGUCCAGCAUCGCUUUGUCAUUAUGAAGGUAGACUACAGUCCAGCAUCGCUUUGUCAUUAUGAAGGUAGACUACAGUCCAGCAUCGCUUUGUCAUUAUGAAGGUAGACUACAGUCCAGCAUCGCUUUGUCAUUAUGAAGGUAGACUACAGUCCAGCAUUGCUAUGUCAUUAUGAAGGUAGACUACAGUCCAGCAUCGCUAUGUUAUCGUCAGAAAGACACAGCAUAACCCAUCCAUAACCAAGUAAAGUUCAGGAUCAUGAGUCUGUGCACGUCAGAUGUUUUCCUGUCCCGAUAUAACACAGUGCACCCAGUGGGCCCUGAAUGUCCUGAGGCAGUAAGUUAAAAGCUUCAGAAACAGAAUUAUAGCUGCCUAAGUCAGGAGUCUGGGCCAUUUAGAAUAGCUCCCAAAUAGUACCCCUUUCCCUCUGGUGUGCACUACUUUUGACCAGGGCUCUUGCCGAAAGUAGUGCACUAUGUAGGGAAGAGGGUCCCAUUUGAACCCAGCAGAUGUAGCACUCACAGCAUAAUGUCUUUCCCUCCCCUUUGGGAGACAGAGUGAGGACAAGUCAGUUGUUGAAUGCUGAGAAUGAUUGAUGGUUGCUGCUCACUCAGCUUGCCUGUGCUCUGUUCUAUACUUGGGGAAAUUAUGAUAAUGAGAAUCGACAAUGCCCUCAUCAAUUAAUUGCCUAAAUAGCUUGCGUUGUGUGAGGUCUCCAGAGAUAGCAUGUGGCUACCCGAAAUAAAUAGCUUUGAGGGAUAGGACACAGCAAAUAUAGGACAUCAGAUAAGAAUGACAUAAUAGCUUGUAACUGGAUGUAACCAAUUAGACUGAAGCAAGUCACAGAUAAAAGUCACAGAUCCCUAUUUCUCCAAAACACAGUACAUGAAUGCACACUUCCGGUCAGUCAGGACUUCUCCAAGUAGCUCCAAACCGAAAUAAAUUCACCACGGAAUAGUGGCUAUGUCCCAAAUGGCCACCUAUUUCUUAUAUAGUGCACUGCUUUAGACUGGAGCCCAAUGGACCCUGAUCAAAAGUAGUGCACUACAUAGGGAAUAGGGGGCCAUUUGGGAUACACAAGGUAUCUGCUAAGUUCUCUCAUAAUGCCUUCUUUCAGAUAGGGUGCUGUCAACAGUGGACUAACCGCAUCCCACAUUUAACUUGACCAUGGCAUUGAGAACUUGACCAUGGCUUUGAGAAAACUUGACCAUGGCAUUGAGAAAACUUGACCAUGGCAUUGGGAAAACUUGACCAUGGCAUUGAGAACUUGACCAUGGCAUUGAGAACUUGACCAUGGCAUUGAGAAAACUUGACCAUGGCAUUGAGAACUUGACCAUGGCAUUGAGAACUUGACCAUGGCAUUGAGAACUUGACCAUGGCAUUGAGAAAACCUGACCAUGGCAUUGAGAAAACCUGACCAUGGCAUUGAGAAAACUUGACCAUGGCAUUGGGAAAACUUGACCAUGGCAUUGAGAAAACUUGACCAUGGCAUUGAGAAAACUUGACCAUGACAUUGAGAACUUGACCAUGGCAUUGAGAACUUGACCAUGGCAUUGAGAACUUGACCAUGGCAUUGAGAAAACUUGACCAUGGC